rnacentral:rRNA from 1 species
UACAGAGGGUGCUAGCGUUGUUCGGAAUUAUUGGGCGUAAAGGGCGCGUAGGCGGCCUCGCAUGUCGAAUGUGAAAGCCCACCUCUUAAAGGUGGAAUUGCAUUCGAAACUGCAAGGCUAGAGUGCCGGAGAGGGUGGUGGAAUUCCUGGUGUAGAGGUGAAAUUCGUAGAUAUCAGGAGGAACACCGGUGGCGAAGGCGGCCACCUGGACGGUAACUGACGCUGAGGCGCGAAAGCGUGGGGAGCAAACAGGAUUAGAAACCCCAGUAGUCC